ensembl:lncRNA
GGCCCUGCCCACAUUCAGAACAGGCUGGUCAAACACAUGAGCACCAAUGAGUAAGGAUCUCAGCCCUGUGUCUGUCAGCCACAACCCAUGUUCACACUGUUCCAUAUCUUCCCAAACACCAUCACCAGCUGGUGACCAAGUGUCAAACACAAGCCUUGGGGGGACAUUGCACAUUUACACGUAACAUUCUCCUUUUGACUCCACCUCACUCCCAAGUGGGUCAGUCAGGUUGCUCCAAAGCUCACAUGCCAUAACUUCAAAUACAGCCAGGUUUGGAAAUGGAGCCUUCAUGAAUAUGAUGGGUUAUGAAGGGUUAGAGUGGAUCCUAAAAAAGUGUCAGUGUCCCUGGGGAUGAAUACAAACAGUGAUGAGUGAUGGCCACAAGCCAGAGAUCCCCAAGAACUGGAGGAGGCGGGAGGACACCCUAGAACCUGAAACAGCCUGAGAUCAUUUUGGAUCAGAUGCUGGCUUUGAGCUAGCACAGGUAGGUCACAUGAGACUUGUGUGGGAGACUAAGGUCAUUCCAGUACCAAGGACUAUAGCCUGGUGAUCUACCUUCCCAGCAUGAACAAGCAUAGCCUCAGAGACCCCCAGUCCAGGAAUAUCCAAUGUAAAGGUCCUGGAUAGCCAGCAGUGUCAGUAGACCUGGGUCUUAGGCACAGGCUCCUUGGUCCUGAGAGGGAGGUGGGAAACAGACCUACUCUUGCCAUUCCAGACUCAAUCCUGAACCAGCUAGAUGGCCUAAAAGAUAGUAUCUUUGCUGUUACCCUUCCAUCUGAUGAGACGCAGAAGGCAAGUCAUUUGCUCGAGGCCACACAGUAGCCUACAUCACCAGAGCUAGAGCCCAUGCCUGCCUGGCCCAUGUGCUCUGAGACUUGCAGGUGCAGGGCUUAUGAAUCCCUCUGUGAGCAACCCCAAUACCACAGCAGGUACUGGGUGCAGGGAUGGUUUCAGAACUGGCUUUAACCAGAGAUGUUCCUUAGGACAUUCUGUUUGAUUAGCUAACAUCUUGGCCAAGCAAGACUUGUGCUCAGAGCACACACUAUGGCCAGGACUCUGCACUACUCAGUGCCCACUGACCCAACUUGCCUUCCAUUCUGGGCUCUGCCAGAUCCCAGGUCCUUAUGUGACCUAGCCAGUCCCUUGGACUCUCUCAGCCAGGGCCAGGGACACAGCAGUUCUAAGUGCUGAGUGUGCACUUCUGCCGAGUAGUGGAGAGGGCUGCAGGCCUGGUUCUUGGCCUCUCCAACAGGGAGGCUCCAACGGGCCCACGUCUGCAGACCUCAAGCCAAUUUUUGUAUGAGUGAAGCAGUUGGAACUGCAAAUGGAGAAGCUGCUAGUCUGCUUGGGUGGGGCUUGGCUACUGGCUCAACCCCUUGAGACUCCCCUGCAGAGGGCAUCUGGAAGGAACAGGAAAGCUCACUGGCCUGGGAUGGAGCUUCCACAUCAUGGCCCAAAUGGCAACCAGUCAAGGAGUCAGCCUGUGGCCUGGCAGGACCAUAAGCCUGUGACAUACCAGCUUCUCCUUGUCUGGCCUGCGGGACCAGCAAUCACCCACCUACCCUGGUGAUACCUCUAGCACUGAGCCUGCCAGGAGCCAGAGACAAGCUGUACCUUCCCAUGUGUGAGGCUGGCUUCUACAGUGCACUGUGAUCUUCCAUCCUACCUGAGCCCGAAGGAGUCCCUGACCAGCAGCCAGGCAGCAUCUCCAGUGGGAAAGUGAAUAAGGAAGGACGUUUCCUCUAGCUGCUUGGCUCUCCAGAAAUCCUGAGCCAUGUGGCAGUGAUUUGUUCUGCUGUGGACCACUCCAGAGCAAACAAGGCAAAGCCCAAGAAGGCGUGUCAGAGGAGGAGGCCCAGAGGCAGAGAGCAACCCAGAGCCUCCCACUGAGUUCUGAAGCCAUCUCCUACUCCAUAUCUCCUCCCCUCCUUUUCUCUUCUGUUCCUCCCUCCCUCCUUCCCCUUCUACUUGCAGAGUUGAAAGGGUAUUAGAAUGGACCCACUCACAGCCCACAGGCUGUGCUCUGGUAACGGCUGGGAUCAGUUCUGUGUCCGUAAGGGUGCUGCCUUGACCCUGCCCUCUUAGUUGGAUGAGCUGAAGCUCCAGACAGGACAUGGAAACAGGCCUGGCUGGCAGGGACUUCUAAGAAUGUGAGCUGGGAUUGCCAUCAUGGAGUGGGGAGCCUGAGGCUGUGUCCCAGGCUCAAAUACAUCUCUAGCUACAGGGAAGGGAGACAGGCUGGUGUCACUCUAGAUUGUCUGAGACCUCACUACUGGAGUAUUCCUUCCUGCCUCCUGUGAGGUACUAAGUAUUACUAAUUGUGCUGACUAGUUUUAUAUCAACUUGACACAAGCAAAAAUUAUCUGAAAAGAGGGAACUCAAUUGAGAAACUGCCUCCAUAAGAUCAGGCUGUAGGACAUUUUCCUGAUGAGUGAUUGAUGGGGGAGGACCCAGCCCUUUGUGGGUGUCGAUAUUCCAGGGCUGGUGGACCUGGGUUCUACAAGAAAUGUUGAGCAAGCCAGUAAACAGCAUCUUUCCAUGGCCUCUGCGUCAGCUCCUGAUUCCAGUCCUGUUUGAGUUCCUGCCUUGACUUCCCUCAGUGAUGAACUGUCACCUGGAAGUGUAAAUUGAAAUAAACCCUUUCCUUCCCA